rnacentral:rRNA from 1 species
GUAGCGAAAUUCCUUGUCGGGUAAGUUCCGACCUGCACGAAUGGCGUAACGACUUCCCCACUGUCUCGACCAGGAGCUCGGCGAAAUUGCAGUACGAGUAAAGAUGCUCGUUAAGCGCAGAAGGACGAAAAGACCCCGGGACCUUUACUAUACCUUGGUAUUGGCAUUAGGCGCGGAUUGUGUAGCAUAGGCGGGAGGCUUCGAAGCGUGGGCGCCAGCCCGUGUGGAGCCGCAAGGUGAAAUACCGCUCUGUUCUCGUUUGAUGUCUAACCUCGAACAGUCAUCCUGUUCAGGGACAGUGCCUGGCGGGUAGUUCAACUGGGGCGGUUGCCUCCCAAAGAGUAACGGAGGCGCUCAAAGGUCCGCUCAGCCCGGUUGGCAAUCGGGUGUCGAGUGUAAUCGCACAAGCGGGCUUGACUGCGAGAUCGACGGAUCGAGCAGGGACGAAAGUCGGAGAUAGUGAUCCGGUGCCGGCGCACGGGCGCGGCAUCGCUCAACGGAUAAAAGGUACCCCGGGGAUAACAGGCUGAUCAUUCCCAAGAGUCCAUAUCGACGGGAUGGUUUGGCACCUCGAUGUCGGCUCGUCGCAUCCUGGGGCUGGAGCAGGUCCCAAGGGUUCGGCUGUUCGCCGAUCAAAGCGGCACGCGAGCUGGGUUCAGAACGUCGUGAGACAGUUUGGUCUCUAUCCUCUGCGCUCGUUGGAAUCCUGAGGAGGCCUGCCCAUAGUACGAGAGGACCUGGGUGGACGAACCUCUGGUAUGCCGGUUGUCGCGCCAGCGGCACGGCCGGUUGGCUACGUUCGGAAGGGAUAACCGCUGAAAGCAUCUAAGCGGGAAGCCUUCUCCAAGAUAAGGAUUCCAUGCGGCCCCGAGCCGCUGAAGACCCCAUGCAGAACACGUGGUUGAUAGGCCGGACGUGGAAGCCCCGCGAGGGGUGGAGCCGACCGGUACUAAUGGUCGAGAGGCAACCCAC